CGAAAAUGCAGCAGGCAAAAAGUGUGGCAAUACGACUCUAUCAUUGACAAAAGAAUGACAGAGGAUAAGGCUGAAGUAAAGGUGCGCUGGUUGCCUUGUUCUCAUUGUGGCAAAGCCUGGGAGGACACGUGGGAGCCUGCCAGCCAGUUCCUGAGCUUAGCACAGGACUCUACAGCAGUGACCUGAAGUUUAAAAGAAUAUAAAUAAAACAAUUAUACACACACACGGACCCAUGUAUAGGUAUGUUUCAGUUAAAUUUCCCCUAGUUUUUUUCAGGUUCUUCCUCUUGAAAUCAUUAUGCAUGCCUGAAAAUACAUAUAUAGAGAGAACUAAUAAUAUUCUUGACACAUUAAAUUCAUAUUCAGUGUUCUAUAGCAUUUCUAAUUGUUCAUAUGUAUUGAUUAUUAUCAAACGUUUUACCUCUGAGCUGUCAUUGCACGCCAUAAACCACAAACCUGAUGACUUUGACACUUAAAUUAGGACAUUCAGUAUACACAUGCAAUGUGCUGAUUUUAGUGUGUGUGUUCAACUUAUUCUGUCUGAUUGCUGUAUAUUUGUUCAUAUUUGUUGUUUGUCUUUACUGUCUUUCAAAUGGCACUAAAUUUGUCUCCACCUCAAUUUGUUGGACUUGUGCAAUGAGAUAUUCUAUUUCUGACUUUGGUUCUAAUAAAACACUGUUAAUUAUGUCUUGAAAAUUUGGCUAUUCUCUCUGUUUUCAAACUCUGCGCCAACAUUAUUUUCACAUAUCAAUAAAUAGUGUCCCUCUGGGUGUCAGAGGGGAAGGAAUAUGGACGCUUGGACAAGACCCCAUGCGUAAUUACAGCUUGGAUCAAAUAUGCCCAAGACAUCUGUUGGACCAGGACAUGGACUCUGCCCAGUAAAUUCCUGCUUGUCAACAAAGUUAAAGAGGUUUCUUUUAAAAGUAUCCAUCGCUGCUAUCCUGUUAAAUCUUUAUUAGUUAAAUUCAGAAAAGAUAUUGAUGAAAUCUCUAUUGAAAUGUACUUUCUCUUUAACACAUACAGAGACUGUCUUUUGUAUAACACCUGGCUUAUAGGUACUGCAUCUCUUCAACUUUGUUUUAUUAUCACACUUAAUUCUCUUAGAUAAAACUUCAGCCUCAUGUGUAUUCUACUCUUUUGGGUCUUGGAUGUUUACCCACAGCCUGUUGAGCGGAUACAAGGAAUAGGCUAAACUUGUAAGAAAGACAAACUAAGCAUGACGUGUAGUCUUGGAUUAGGAUACUUUCUUUACAGAUCCUGGUGAUAUUCUUUUUAAUAAAAUGGAAACAUUAACCACAGCACAGUGAUCAUAGUAGACUAAUUCCCUAUCACAAAGACUGACCAAAUGGCUUGAUGGUAACCUUGUCAAUUUGUCUGUCUGUCUUUCAUUCUCUGUCUCUCUUUCGCUGUCUCUCAUUUGCCGCUGUACAUCCUUGGCCAACACCUAUGGGAUGAUGGUCAUGCAUGAAUUCUCCAUCAUCUUAAAGCUGAAGCUGCAGGACUACACUGCUGCCCUCGUACUGUACUGGAACAGUUUUGCCAUUGUGAAUUUCAUGAGGAAAAGAGUCUGCCUGCGCAGGAAAUUG